AAAAGGUUGACGAGAAUUGGAUUAUUACCACAAAAAACUCCUUUUAGGGGAUAGACUGGUUAGGAAACAAGGAGCCGUGUAUGGACGCAGCCGCACAUCGUCAUUGUCUGCGGGAGCUCCUAUCGUAUACCUCAGCACUAGCCAAUCAGAACGCGCCAAAACCAGAGAAUGCCCCGCCCCGCACGGUGUUGGCCAUGAGAGGGGGAGCUAUAAGCAUCCGAAUCACCACCAGAUUCAACCCCCAACGACCCCGACCACGGCUACCCUUCUGUGCGCGCACCACCAUCCACAAUAACUCCAUGGCCGACCGCGACGGCGAUGCGGCAGCAGCAGCAAUUAAGACUCGAGUCCCUCAACCGAUUGAAGCAGCGAAGCCGAAAGAGGAAGAAGGACAGUCAGCGGAGACAUCACCUCCGCCUCCGCCGCCAGAGAAGCCGGAGCCGGGCGAUUGCUGCGGCAGCGGAUGCGUCCGGUGCGUGUGGGAUGUGUAUUACGACGAGCUCGACGAAUACAACAAGCUGUACAAAUCGGGAUCGCGGUGUCGUGGAGGGAAGAUGCGUAGGUCAGAGUUCAUGGGCGUUGCUGUGAUCGCGGCGGUGGCGGCGGCUCUGCUACUGUUUGGAAACGCCGUCGCUGUGGAGGCUUCGGCUUCGUCUUCGGCGGCGUUCGUGCAGAACGCCAUCUACUCCAACAAGAUUGCCAUCUUCUCCAAAUCCUAUUGCCCGUAUUGCUUGCGUGCCAAGCGCAUGUUUGCCGAAUUACAUGAGCAUCCGUUUGUUGUCGAACUUGAUCUUCGAGGUAUGAAAUGAUGAUGGAGCUCAAAUUCAGAGUGUUCUUCUAGAUGUGGUAGGCCGAACCACUGUCCCGCAGAUUUUUGUGAAUGGAAAGCACAUUGGCGGCUCUGAUGACCUCAAAGCGGCAGUUCUGAGUGGCCAGCUUCAGAAGCUUCUUAGUAUAAGUUGAGGAGAUAUGUUAGAUUAAGAAACACGAGCGCAGAUGUGAAGCUGCAUAUGGGGAUUAAAGAGUUAGUUCUCUGACUUUGAUGUAGCUAAAAUGAUUUUUCUGUCUGCAAAUAAUAAUUGAUGUAAUGUUGAAUUAGCACAAUCAUCGAUUUUCCACAGCAUUUGAGAAAUCAUAUGUAUUUGAUGACUAGCAAUCUCGGUUUUUCUAUUUUUGAUACACUAAGACUUUCUGCUAUCCAAAUAAAAAGCAUUGAAUUCAACAAC